ACUACGGGAGGCAGCAGUGGGGAAUAUUGGACAAUGGGGGGAACCCUGAUCCAGCCAUGCCGCGUGUGUGAAGAAGGCCCUCGGGUUGUAAAGCACUUUCAGUGAGGAAGAACGCCUGGUGGUUAAUACCCAUCAGGAAAGACAUCACUCACAGAAGAAGCACCGGCUAACUCCGUGCCAGCAGCCGCGGUAAUACGGAGGGUGCGAGCGUUAAUCGGAAUUACUGGGCGUAAAGCGCGCGUAGGUGGCUUGAUAAGCCGGUUGUGAAAGCCCCGGGCUCAACCUGGGAACGGCAUCCGGAACUGUCAAGCUAGAGUGCAGGAGAGGAAGGUAGAAUUCCCGGUGUAGCGGUGAAAUGCGUAGAGAUCGGGAGGAAUACCAGUGGCGAAGGCGGCCUUCUGGACUGACACUGACACUGAGGUGCGAAAGCGUGGGUAGCAAACAGGAUUAGAUACCCGAGUAGUC
rnacentral:rRNA from 1 species